rnacentral:rRNA from 1 species
GACGAACGCUGGCGGCGUGCUUAACACAUGCAAGUCGAACGAUGAUGCCCAGCUUGCUGGGUGGAUUAGUGGCGAACGGGUGAGUAACACGUGAGUAACCUGCACCUGACCCUGGGAUAAGCGCUGGAAACGCAGUCCAAUAUUGGAUAUGACUGCCGGACGCAUGGACUGGUGUGGGAAAGCUUGUUUGGAUGGGGUUGGACUCGCGGCCUAUCAGCUUGUUGGUGAGGUAAUGGCUUAUCAAGGCGACGACGGGUAGCCGGCCUGAGAGGGUGACCGGCCACACUGGGACUGAGACACGCCCAGACUCCUACGGGUGGCAGCAGUGGGGAAUAUUGCACAAUGGGCGAAAGCCUGAUGCAGCAACGCCGCGUGAGGGAUGACGGCCUUCGGGUUGUAAACCUCUUUUAGUAGGGAAGAAGCGAAAGUGACGGUACCUGCAGAAAAAGCACCGGCUAACUACGUGCCAGCCGCCGCCGUAA